rnacentral:lncRNA from 1 species
CUGAAUCCCCUUCCUUUCCCCCCAGUACAGUUAAACCUCUCUAAUUUGGGAUGUUAUAUUUGAGAAGAUGGCCACUCUGAAUAAAUGACAAAUCUGAAUGACAGUGUCUAUUUAAUGAAAUGCAUGUCUUCAAAAUAUAUACAGUAAGUAGAACUCGGUGAAUAAGGCCCUCAGGGAGCAUGCCUUAAUGAAUAGAUAGGAAUGAAAAGUCUGUUUGCUGGUAUAGGUUAAAUACCCCCUCCCACAGACACUUUCCACCACUAAUUUGCUUAGCCCACCCUUUCUGCACAGAUAAAGGAAAACUCAAGCCCAGUUUUUGUUCAAAUUAUGAAAAAAAUUCCAAAUCCACAGGGGUUUGGAGUAAUGAGGUUUUGCUGUACUGCCUCCCUUGGUUCCUCAAUACAAAGUUCCUACCUGAGAUUGGGGGGUGGGCUGGGAGGGUGUUCCAAGAGGCAGAGGGUGGGCUAGGAGGGGAAAUAUAGGUGAAGCUAGUGGGGUUAGGUUGGGGGUGAGGUGGGAGCUUGCUGCUUUUGAGCUGGUUUCCUGGUGUUACACUCUGGGUUGAAGGUUUGAAGGCCCCUGUUAGGAGUCUGGGAAAUGAGUCUCUACCUGAUCCCAGAGGAUCCUACAGGUGAGAAAAAACAGGAGGCUGGUGGGGAUUGUCCUGGGAGGAGCGGGUGGACAUGGCUUAUGGAGUGGGUUGGCUAGUGGGGAGGUCACUGAUAGGGGUCUGGCAUCCAGGCCCCUGCGAAGCGUCUCAAUAAGUCCGCGCUCUCCUCUUUGGUAUCUUGCAGGAGAGGCAGCUUCCCCCCUUGGGUCCAACAAACCCGCGUGUGACGCUGGCCCCACCUUGGAACGGCCUGGCCCCCCCAGCCCCGCCCCCCCCACCCCGGCUGCAGAUCACGGAGAACGGCGAGUUCCGAAACACCGCAGACCACUAGCCCACCCAGCAUCACAGACCUUCUUCUCCUUCCCCGUGCACUCCACCCCGGAACAGCACCAACCACCAGGACUGGACGUCACCGAGGGACAGUGGGAUUGCCUCCCUGAAUGCCUCCUUGGGGGUCACCAAUCCUCCACCCCCAUUGCACCAUUUCUAGGAGGGAGAGCGGGAACCCUCAGCCGCCCUCUCUUCCUUCCUGUCGGGGUGCUGCCCCCUCUGACCCCCAGGGACCCUUGCCCCAGGACACCUCCUAACCCACACAGACCCCCUUCACUCCGGGGUGCUACCCCCAUCCUCUGCCUCAUCGUUCCCCUGAGCACUGGGGGACAGACCCUCACCCCCCACCCUGGGGGUGUGGCACCUCCAAACUUUCAACUUCAGGGUGAUUUUUUAGCAGUAACCAGAGCUGACAAUCUAACUCCUCUCCACCGCCCCAUUUUUGGCCUCCCCUGCCCCCCUUGUAAUGGGGAGGGGACCCCGGGUGAGGGGGCCCUAUUACCCCUUGAUUUCUCAGGAGCGUCUGGGGGGGCUCAGCACGCACAAACUCCUACUCCUCCUACCACUCUUAAAUUUAUUCCCUCCCCACCCAGAACCCAGAUGGGGUGGAGGGGGCCGCCGGGGCAGGGAGGGGGCGGCAAGGGGGGAAUGGGAGCUGUCUCCCCUUCUUCCCACACCUGAUCUGCUCUCGGCUGGUCCCAGAGCGGGGUGAGGGGGCUUAUGCCCCCCCCUCCCCCAGUGUGUUGGGGUGGGGUGGAAUUGAGGUUAGGGUGAGGGGUUAGGGUUAGGAGAGUGUGUGUGUCAGGGAGGACAGACUGAUUAUCUGCCCUACCCUGACACACACAGUCCCCUGCCCCUCCCCUCUCUCUUGGUCUCUACUCCCAGGGGGAGGGGGGAACUUACUCUAGGAAAAGCCAUGUCUCUCUCCCCCAGGGUGGGGGGACCUGUGUUGGAGGAGGGGUGUUGGGGGCCCCCUUCCAUGACUCUGUCCCCCUGGGGAGGUAGGACAGGGCUGGGCUUCCCUCUCAUCCUCCCCCCCCCAAUCUCUUUUCACCUCCCUCCCUCCCGCCAGCUCCACAAUUUUUCGGUGUUUCUCUGUACAUAGCUCUCUGGCGGGAUAGGGGAGGAAGGAUGGAUGGGGUUUGGGGUGGGUAGGCCCUGGGAGGGGAGAUGUCCCUCCCUGGCACCCCCUCCUCCCUGACUGCUGUCCCCUACUCAGCCUUGCCCCCUCAUCCCUUCUUGCGUUUGGUAUUGAGAUUCUUCCCAGAUUCCACCCUUCUUUCUUUUGUAUGGACAGUUCCCCUUCAGUCCCAUCCCUCUACACACAUACACCCAGCCGGGGCCAAAUUUAUACUUAUAUAAAAGUUGUAAAUAUGUGAAAUUUUAUCCCUGUGCCCUUUCCUCUGCUUUCCCCACUUCAGGCCCUACCCCUGGACCCUUUCCUCUCUUCUUUGGCUGUUGUAAUUAUCUGGGGUUUGUACUGUACAUAUCGGGGUGUGUGUGUGUGGGCUGGGGGCGACCCCCCUCUGUACAGAGCUUCCUGGCCCCCUCCCCCCCGACCCUCCCCUUCCCCCCCACCCCCUUCAGGGUAGGGAGAUGCUCUUCCUACCCGUUUUAGUUUUAUUUUGUUUUCUCGUUCUCCCUGCCCCAGUCCCAGCCUUCUCUAUCCCCCACCACUGUCCCCUUUUCUCCACUCCCAGCCCCAUUUCCUUUUUUUCUGGAGUGUGUGGUGAAACAGAAAAAUCAUGUUUAAUAAACGGAGAUUGUUCUUUUAUCGCUGCACUGACUUUAUUAGCCUGGGAUCUCCAGAUUGACCAACAGGUGAUGAGAACUACUUUUUAAUUGCAAUGCUGUGUAUUAAACCUGGAACCUUCCACAUGCCCCGGAACCAAGCCGUAUAUCUCUGCCUUGAUGCUAUGAUCUCAUUGUCUACGAUCACCCUCCCAUUCAGCGAGAUUUAUUCUGUUUUAGAACAGGGGUUCAGCUCUCCUCUCACCCACUGCUUCACAUAGCUCUAAGGAGCAGGGAUGGUAUUUGAUGAGAGUUCCAGUAUAAAUCUACGUUUAUUCUUUAAAAGAAAUUACCUAUAAAUAAGGCUUAAAUUGUUGGUUAAAAUUCUUACAUGCGAGUAGUGAAAAAUAAAACCAAACUGGUUCCUUAGUAAAUCCGGGAUCCACGCCCUCUACUUGCCAGCCCAAUGAUUCUUGCCAGCCUCCGAUUCCCCGCAUGGAAACAGGACGGGAACACCUACCUCUCAUGGCUGGUGGUAGAACACGAAAUAAUGGGGGUAAGUGCCCAUCCCACACAAUAGGUACCCAAUUAAUUUUGCCCCUCUCCGCACCUGCUGGGGGGCGGGCGCUACUCUUAAUUACCAAGAAACGUAGCUUUGAAGGGCUGCGCUCUACUGAGAACCAGCUCCGGAGCCUCCGCCGCUGCCGGGACUCUGCAGCACCUGACAAGGCCAACCGCUGAC